rnacentral:rRNA from 1 species
AUUGAACGCUGGCGGCGGGCCUAACACAUGCAAGUCGAACGAGUGGCGGACGGGUGAGUAAUGGCGGGGAAAGUGCCUGAUGGAGGGGGAUAACUACUGGAAACGGUAGCUAAUACCGCAUACCAUCAGAUGUGCCCAGAUGGGAUUAGCUUGUUGGGGGGGUAACGGCUCACCAAGGCGACGAUCCCUAGCUGGGCGGAGAGGAUGACCAGCCACACGGGAACUGAGACACGGUCCAGACUCCUACGGGAGGCAGCAGUGGGGAAUAUUGCACAAUGGGCGAAAGCCUGAUGCAGCAAUGCCGCGUGUAUGAAGAAGGCUUUCGGGUUGUAAAGUACUUUCGGCGGGGAGGCGUUACCCGCAGAAGAAGCACCGGCUAACUCCGUGCCAGCAGCCGCGGUAAUUC